rnacentral:rRNA from 1 species
GCACUUCUUCGCUUGGCAGGUUAGCGUCGAUUUUGAACGUCAUAAAAUGAUUGGGGGAAGGUAGCUCUUUCGGGAGUGUUAUAGCCCUUGAUUAAUGUGAUGUUUGGGAUCGAGGAUUGCAACGGAUACCUUUUAGGCUAGUCGCCUGGCCUCUGAUUCGAUGUUGGGUUAUAGACAGCAUGCUGACUAUGAUCUGAUUAUUGGUCAAAAGGUUAGAGCGAGCAUAAAUUCGUUAAGGACGCUGACGUAAUGGCUUUAAACGA